rnacentral:rRNA from 1 species
ACGAACAGUUGGAAACGACUGCUAAUACCGCAUACGAUCUAAUCUCGGCAUCGAGGAUGGAUGAAAGGUGGCCUCUACAUGUAAGCUAUCACUGAAGGAGGGGAUUGCGUCUGAUUAGCUAGUUGGAGGGGUAACGGCCCACCAAGGCGAUGAUCAGUAGCCGGUCUGAGAGGAUGAACGGCCACAUUGGGACUGAGACACGGCCCAG